CUGAUAACUAAGGCAACUGCUAAGUAACUGUAACUAAUAGGCAGGGAGUGUGACUAUGCUGGACAAAGGGGUGAUUAUGUCUGGGGUAGGAGAGAGCUGGAGAGCACAAGAUUUCAUCAUGCUACUAAGAAUGAACUGGUUCAUUGUAUUCAGUGACCACAUUGCUUACCAGUGCUGA
rnacentral:lncRNA from 1 species